rnacentral:rRNA from 1 species
UACGAAGGGGGCAAGCGUUGUUCGGAAUUACUGGGCGUAAAGGGCGCGUAGGCGGCUUAUCAAGUCAGGCGUGAAAUUCCCGGGCUCAACCUGGGGGCUGCGCUUGAUACUGAUGAGCUUGAAUGCGGGAGAGGAUAGUGGAAUUCCCAGUGUAGAGGUGAAAUUCGUAGAUAUUGGGAAGAACACCGGUGGCGAGGGCGGCGCUCUGGACCGAGACUGACGCUGAGGCGCGAAAGCGUGGGGAGCAAACAGG